CUCAGCGAGUUGAUAUGAGGUUGAACAGCCUCAUGAUGUCACUCCUGGAGAAGGAGGUUCACAAUGCUAGAAUUGUCACAGCCCAUCCACAGAAUGCUAACGAAGGCUACAGGCUGAUCGCCACACAGCUUCCAUUCACAGUGCGAGGAGGCGACGUAGGAGCUGAGGCACAGUCUGUGACUGCUAACCGGGUGACACAUCUGUCACCAUCUUUGAAACUCAGCCAUCCUCCCUGUUGGGAUUGUCGGAGGAAUAUUAACCCUUUUGGUGCCAAAUGGGCUUUGCUCAAUGCUGC